UCGAAAAAAGAACCGAACCCUUCUCCUAUUCAGCCACCACUCCCUAAUUCCCAUCGUCGCUGCCCCAUCCUUUUCUCCAGCUUCCUGCCGCCGCCGUUGAUCCCGCUUCCUGCUGCCGCCGUUGAAGCUUGCGUCGUGUGGCUGCCUACUGCUGCCGCCUGGUCCAUCUCUUUGAGGCUGCUGCUUUCCUACAUCUGGGAGGGACCAAACUAGCGUGGGGAGGGGGGAAUCAGGCAAGAGAAAGGUGCAGAUGCAGGGGAUAGAGAAGGGAGGAAAAGUAUUAUUCCUCCAUCGAUUCUUGAUUCUUGUUGCUAAGGUUUGGAGAGUUCUAGAGCUGAGCGAGAGGCGUCGGUUCCCAUCAAGGUUAGGGCAAGUGCAUGAUGAACCUGUGUGUUGAUAAACUUGCUCUUUGGAUGUUUUCUUGUGCCUUUCAAGUAUGUUGUCCCAAGUUCAUGUUCAUGCUAUUCAAGUUGUAUUAUUUGAUUCCUGAUCCAUGAUUCAAGUUUCAAGUUACUUCUUUAUAUUUUUUAUUAUGUUUUGCUUCUGAUUUGGUGGUACUUGCUGAGUAUUUUUACUCAGCUUUGUGUUUAUUUAGUUUUUAGGUACCAAAUGACCGCGAGCAUGCGUGGGAAGUGGGAGUAGCAUUCAUCCAAAGCACACACGUUUAAUUAUACUUAUUUUUAGUUAAAUCCAUUCAUUCAGUAAAACUGUAAUUAGUUAAGUUGGUUCCUUUAUCGUUGGUUGAUGGUGGAACGUCUUGGGGUUGAUCCUAGGG